GAUGAAGAACGGAGCGAAAUGCGAUAAGUAGUGUGAAUUGCAGAAUUCAGUGAAUCAUCGAAUCUUUGAACGCACAUUGCGCCCCUUGGUAUUCCAUGGGGCAUGCCUGUUCGAGCGUCAUUUGUACCUUCAAGCUUUGCUUGGUGUUGGGUGUUUGUCCAUUCUCUUGCAGAGGGACUCGCCUUAAAGUAAUUGGCAGCCAGUGUUUUGGUUUUGAAGCGCAGCACAAGUCGCGAUUCAAAGCUAUACGCCCGCUUCCACAAGCCUUUUUCACUUUUGACCUCGGAUCAGGUAGGGAUACCCGCUGAACUUAAGCAUAUCAAUAAGCGGAGGA
rnacentral:misc_RNA from 1 species